CUUUCAACUUGCUCUAUUUUUUAUUUGUUUUCACACUUUCUAUCAUUGUUUCACAUGGAAAUUUCAGACCGUUUAGAUUGUUAUUUGAUUUAUAUUAAAGAAGACUUAACAUGAAGCUACCUGGCGGGACAAUCAUUCAAUUUUGUCAGUUCCCAAUCUACAGCGGUGGUCCAGGCCUCAAAGUUUUAUUUGAAUUUUAAACUAAAAAUAUUUAUCUUCAAUGAAUUUCUUUUCGAAGUAUGAAAAUUUUGUUUGCAUAUCCAUCUGACUUGCUGCUUUGAUUUGUCUGCCAGGAAAAAAAAAUGAUUGUUGUACUAUAGGGGUGGAUAUGAGUUCUUUGAAUGUAGAAAUUGGCAAGUCUACUGUUGUCAGUAAUGGUCAAAGACCAUUGGCAAUUAGUUAAAUAGCUUCAUUUGGGUUCACCAACUUUCAGGUCUUUCAACCACUAGAGUUUGGGGAGGUUUAUAAGCACCUAAACAAAUGGCAGUCCACCCUACAUCCUGCCUCUGAUCUCCCAGCCACGUAGAAAUUGUCACUGCUUUGCAACGAUAUCUCUCACUGUAUAUUGCAAUAACAACUCUUUGGCUGCUUACUGGAUCAUGGAGGAUGAGCGUUGCCUAAGCCACAUAGAAGUUGCUAUAAGAGACGGAUCCAGUGCUUUGUGUUACUAAGCACUUCUGCCAUAUUUAUCCACUCUAGGAUUCAUUUAAACCUUGUUUGAACAAAAGCUGCAUUAAUAUUAGAAAAUGGUAUAGUUUCAUGUUAUUAAGAUGGGUUUUUGAAUUGACCAAUGUAAUGCAUAAACUAUAUAAUUAAGGUUAUACCUGGUUGAA